CACCCCCUCUCUCUGCUGAUCCCCGCGACCUGCGUUUUCCUGGGGGUCCGCAACUCUGGACUCCAGGCGCCGGCCUCCCCCCCCCCCCGCGCAGGAUCGCUGAUAAUCAGAGAACCCCCCCUUGCCCAUGUCCGCUCAUAAACAGAUGGCUCUCUCCAACCAUGAGGAUUUUUUAAUGGGGUGAAAAUACCAAUCCCCGAAGCAAGGGUUCCCGGACCCCCAGGGUUGAGCUGGGCGCAGGAGCCCCAUAGGGGCGUGGAGGCCGGUGGAGCUUGAAGAAGUGGAGGAGAGAUCUACACAACUUAAGUGGGGCAUCCCCAUCCCGUCUGCCUGCUCACACUCUUUUGCCCCCAACUUCAUCUCUGCGUCACCCUACCCCCCCAACAGAAGUCACUCACUGGUUCUGUCUGCAGAGAGCCAGGGUGAGAACGGGCAAGGCGAGAGAGCGACCUCGGUCGUGGGCAAGUAGCUUGUUUUUACGUCCUUCAAUAAAAAUUUUAUGAGGA